CUGCAGCCAUUUAAGCCAACUGUGUUCCUUUACUUGUGAGUGUGCAGUGUGCAAUGGCUGCAAACAGCAAUCUCCUGAGUAGUGUACUCAGCCUGUUGCUUGCAUGGAUUGCCCUGAGGAACCUUGGAGACUGUG
ensembl:snoRNA SNORA70 Small nucleolar RNA SNORA70